AAUAUUUAUUUGAAUGAAAAUAAAAGUAAAUAAUAUAGUUAAAUGUAAUUAUAAAAAUAAAGAAAAUUUAUGAAACUCCAUCCCCAUCCCUUUCUUUGUUA